AUACUUACCUGGCAGGGGAAACAUCAUGACCACUAAGGCAGUUUUCCUAGUUGCUGAGGAUAACCACUUUUUUUGGCAAGGGGUAGUACAUGGGCAGAGGUAAUGUAUAGUUAACCUCCCACUUUCUCUUUCAGUAGGAAGAUCUUGGCUUUCUGCCUACUUUAUGGAAAUGGGAGACUCCUCCCUAGCUUGCUCCUG
rnacentral:snRNA from 14 species